rnacentral:lncRNA from 1 species
AGUCAUUUACUUUGACAAAAGUCGAAGUUGUAUCUGUUAUACCCUCUUAGCAAGCCAACAAAUGCCUUGCGUGGAUGUGAGUGGAGAGUUACCACCACUAUAUGUGAUAACAUAGCUGAAGAUGAGGGGAGCUGAGGGGAGCUGUGCUGCCAUAUUUUGUAACCAGAUACUGGAAUCCUUUCUCAGCCAUUGUCCUUAGCAGAGCUGUGUGGAGAAAAUCACAUAGGAGACCACCAAUAGGUAGUGGCAAUGUGCUUUGUAGGUAUCGUAUCAGGGGACACAAUGGUAC